CAGUCGCCGCGGUAAUACGAAGGGGGCUAGCGUUACUCGGAAUUACUGGGCGUAAAGGGCGCGUAGGCGGCACGAUUAGUCAGGCGUGAAAUUCCUGGGCUCAACCUGGGGACUGCGCUUGAUACGGUCGAGCUAGAGGAUGGAAGAGGGUUGUGGAAUUCCCAGUGUAGAGGUGAAAUUCGUAGAUAUUGGGAAGAACACCGGUGGCGAAGGCGGCAACCUGGUCCAUUACUGACGCUGAGGCGCGACAGCGUGGGGAGCAAACAGGAUUAGAUACCCCCGUAGUCCCUGUCUCUUAUAU
rnacentral:rRNA from 1 species